rnacentral:tRNA from 1 species
GUGGAUGUAGCUCAGCUGGUAGAGCAUCGGAUUGUGAUUCCGACGGUCGCGGGUUCGAGCCCCGUCAUCCACCCCA